GUUGAAACGCAUAAUAAUCCACUGACAUACUGUGCUUUAUUCUGAUACAGAAGAGCCUGUCAAACCUGGACUGACCAGCUCCUCAACCAACAAUCCUGCAGGGCAGCGACCCCUGGUCUGUCACGCAGUGAAGGCGUCAACAUAGACUUAAGCCAUCCGUUCUGCGACAAAAUAUGGGUGAUGAGAGAUAGGUGUCAUUUUGUUUCCCCCUCUUCUCUUAAUCCCUGGUUCUAUCACUUGUUGUGAGUCAUGCCAGGGUGCUGACUCUGUAUGCUGAUGGUGGAGAAAGAGUUCACGUUCAGUGGGAGGCUUUGGGAAAUCGCCUCUUUCUCUCAGUCCCACAG